AUUGAACGCUGGCGGCAGGCCUAACACAUGCAAGUCGAGCGAGCGGCGGACGGGUGAGUAAUGUAUGGGGACUGCCCGAUAGAGGGGGAUAACUACUGGAAACGGUGGCUAAUACCGCAUACUGUCGGAUUACACAUAUGGGAGUCGCUAGUAGGUAAGGUAAUGGCUUACCUAGGCGACGAUCCCUAGCUGGUCUGUGAGGAUGAUCAGCCACACUGGGACUGAGACACGGCCCAGACUCCUACGGAGGCAGCAGGGGGGAAUAUUGCACAAUGGGAGCAAGCCUGAUGCAGCCAUGCCGCGUGUAUGAAGAAGGCCCUAGGGUUGUAAAGUACUUUCAGUCGGGAGGCGUUACCGACAGAAGAAGCACCGGCUAACUCCGUGCCAGCAGACGCGGUAAUAC
rnacentral:rRNA from 1 species